GGGUUUUUGUACAAGUGUGUACUGACCCGGAGUGCUUGACGUGCAGGGGGUCAGCGGUUCAAGUCCGUUAGCGCCCACCA
rnacentral:tRNA from 1 species